rnacentral:rRNA from 1 species
UACGGAGGAUGCAAGCGUUAUCCGGAAUCAUUGGGCGUAAAGCGUCCGUAGGUGGCUGUUCAAGUCUGCGGUCAAAGCACAAGGCUUAACCUUGUAAAGGCCGUGGAAACUGAAGAGGCUAGAGUGCGGUAGGGGUAGAGGGAAUUUCCAGUGGAGUGGUGAAAUGCGUAGAUAUUGGAAAGACCACCAAUGGCGAAGGCACUCUACUGGGCCACAACUGACACUGAGAGACGAAAGCUAGGGGAGCAAAUGGG